rnacentral:lncRNA from 1 species
AUAAAUUAAUCCAUUAAUUUGAAAUUAGUUGGUCGAGAUUUAAGUGUAGAGAUUGCAAUGAUAAUGAUAUGCUUCUCCCAUAUGAAGGAAAAGAUGAGGAUUUUUGAUUUAGUGAUACAAAAUAACAAUCCUAUAGCAAUUAAUAAAGGCCAAUUUAUCGUCCUGUCAGCUCAGCACUAAGAUAAUAAUGUAGGACUUUGUUUCCUGACAAAUAGUCAAAAGAGGUUUCCUUUUCCACUAUAGAUUCUUUUUGUAAUCAAUACAUGCUCUUAUUUUUUAACCCGACUGGCAUUACAGUAAACAGUUACUUCUUUCAAUUGGUUUUUAUAUGCAGGUUUUUACAGAACCUCACUUGAAAACAAAGGUUUGGGGUUUUUUUUUGUUUUGGGGUUUUUUUCUUCAAUAGAGAGGAGAACGUGUUCCAUUAAGAAUCACUUUGAUUCUUGUUGAAAUCUUAAUGUUAUUUCAAAGACUUACCACGUUUCAUCAGGAAAAAGAAAAAACAAAGCAAUACAUUUGGACAAGUGGGGGGAUCAGGUAAUGGUAUAAUACUAUGCCUAUUUUAAAACAGAGGUUUGAAAACGGUCCGGGUUCAAAGUUUCCCUUUUCUAAUAGCAUUGGCUAUUUGUAAAGAUGAUCACUUUUUUUUUUGUUUUUGUUCUUGUUGCACAGCCUGUGUAUCAGAAAAGCUUCUUUCAGAAAUGGUAUCAUGGAAGGAAAAGCCAGAAAGUGUAUUGACGAAAUUCUGGUUGCAUCAGGCAAUUAUAAGGAAUAGCACAAAGGUUGCUCUUACCUUGUUGCCAUGCCCCUGGACUUCAACAAAGAAUUACAGUCGAGAAGUGAGAGGCUGUACUAAAUCCUUCUGCAGUUUUCCCACAGCUGCUAAUGCCUGUGCAUCUUACGUUCUUGCAGCACAGAACCAUAGUUCCUCGGGUGGUCUAUAGGCCGCAUGCCAGACCAGACUGGAUUACAAAGCAGCAAAGCCAAGUGGCUGCACACCAAAGGAAGUUUUUCUGGAGAGUCAAGAUGAUCCUAUGGGCAUUCCACGAGUUUAGUAUUAUCUCUUUUGGGAAGCGAUGCUUUAAUAAAAUGUGCUGUUCUUCCACAAGCAAUCAACAGCAUAUAGCUCAGAGCAAGACUCCACAAGCAGUUGGGCUGACGCAACAGAAGAGACAGACUGCCAUGACAUGGAGAAACAUUUUGCUAUGA